GCCCCGGUGGCGGGUGGGUGGCUCCAGCCUCACGUGGGGCGCUGCUGACCCCUGCUGGCACAUCCCUCCCCAGAGCCGGCAGGCAGGACCCCAGGGAGAAUGGAGCGUCGGAAAAACCUCGCCAUCCGUCUGGGAGCGGGCGGGAAGAACGAGCCCAGCUCAGCAUCUCCCCCGCUCGGGCUCCUUUGAUGAGACCAAGCAGAAAUUGGAAUACAACCCAGACCGUGUUUCUGGGAAGAGUGAGGAGCUGGCUCAGGCAGUUACGACAGCUCGUCCCAAGUUCUGCCGAGGGACCUGGCAGCCUGCAGACCCAGGAGAGCCAACGGUUGAGUUCCAGUCUGAGUCUGAAGGCCUGAGAACCAGGUGAGCUGAUGGGAUAAUUCUGGUCUGAAGGCCAGCAGGCUUGAGACCCAGGCAGAAGCUGACGUCCCAGUUUGAAGGCAGCCAGGCAGGAGGGAUUCUCUCUUAUUCGGGGGGCGGGGGGGUCAGCCCCUUUGUUCUAUCCAGGUCUUCAGCUGAUUGGACAAGGCCCACCCACAUUAGGGAGGGCAAUUUGGUUUACUCAGUCUACUAAUUUAAAUGUUAAUCUCAUCCAAAAAGCACCCAGAAUAAUUUUGGCCAAAUAUCUGGGCACCCCGUGGCCCAGUCAAGUUGACACAUAAAUUUAACCAUCACACCUGUGAACACCGUACAGCGUAAGAAAUAAAGCAGUGCGAGAACAUAGUUUAAGCUCCUCCCCUCUUGAAUUUCUCUCUCCCCACAGAGGGGGUACUAUUCUGCACUUGGCAUUAACCAUUCCCAUACAUCUCUUUAUGCUUUUACUAUGUUAUACACUAUACAUGCAUAGACUAUUUUAACUAUACAUAUGAAAUCAUACUGUGUGUGUUCUUCUGCAGCUUUCUUUUUUGACUCAGCAUAUACUGUCUGUCUGGGUCAUGGAUGUUUCCAGAACUCCUCUGGCUCUCCUGAACUGACCAGAUCAGGUGUGACUAGGACACCAGGCACAGUUUUUUCUUUUCUUCCUUUUUUUUUUUAAAAUCUGACUCUGAUCUUCUUCCUUCCUUCCUUCCUUUUCUUUUUUUUCUUCUUUCCUUUUUACACUAUGACCAGAUACUAUCUCAGGCACUGGACACGCAGAAGCCGACCAAGACACAAUUCUGUCCCCAACUUCAUGCUUCUCUGUAGCCCUUUGUAGCAAAGGGAGUUUUGCCUGGGACCACGUCUGUGCAGCCCAGACUACGAAGAAUAAACCUAAUCCUCCCUAAAGUAGCAUAAAGCUGCCCGCAGGGGGCUCGGGUAACGCCCGCCAGUGCUCAAAAGUGGAAAACACAGGCGAUGGGCUUUAGCGUUCUGCGUCCUGGAGAGAGAGCUGGACCAGUCCUCUGCAGGCCGGGCCCCAGGCUCCGCAGAGAGAGGAGCCGCGGUCCCCUUCCCUUGGGUCUCGGGGCCCAAACGCGGUGCCUCCGGAAGCUUGUUGCCGAGGGCCAGCCCCACCCCCACCCCACCCCUUCCCAGACAGCCACGCUCGACCUCGCCGGCCCAGCUCUUCCGGCCUCUGAAGCAGGCUCACCCAUCCUUCCCUGAGGCCUGGUGGGUGACACGAGGGUCCUGGGCAUCCAGGCCUGCCCCCAACCAGCCCGUGGGCCCUCGCGCUCCGCCGUGGUCCUCAGGCUCGCUCCCCGCGCGCCGCGGUGCCAUCCCGCCUCCUCGCGCGCGCGGGCUGUGUCUCCCCUCCGAGCGAGCUCUCACUGUGCGCGAGGCCCGCUCCCGGCUCCUGUGCGACAGGCACCCAGGAGCUUCCACGUGACCGCGGCCAUACCUCAUCUCUCUCGCGGUGCGGCGGCUGCUCCUGGCUGGCCGCUUCCCGCUCUGGGCUCUGCCCGUGGCUGCCUGAGAAGCCUCAGCGGGGCAGAGUCGCUGGCUCUAGCUGGCCACUGGCUGUGGGGACACCAGCUGGAUUCUUCUCCCUCUGGGAGUCCGUCUCGGCAGAACCUCGCUGGACGGGCCCCCUCCCCCAGAGGCCACUACUCGCCUGCCUUGGUCAAUGCUGGCCGCCAGCCAGAGUCCCGGACACCCCCUCGGGAGAGCAGCCUGCAUCCACCUCUCUCUCCGAGGCUCCUUUUCAGAGAAAUGUUUUUGCAAGUCCUAGUGAGGACGGCUCAGCGGAUACUUCUAAACCCGCAUGUUUUCUCUUGGCAACACCCCAUCUGUAAAAACUUUCUUUCUUAGGAAAUGCAUCUCUGAAGGCAGCAUAGCUGAACGGAUCCACCUGGAGUGACCUACCCACCUCUGGAAACCGUCUCUUCGCAAAAGGGCUGUGUUUCCCAUCCCACGUGCUCUUCUAGAACCUUGCCCGGUGCACAUCAGGAGGCAGGUCCAGCUGCCAGCCAGCAUCGGCCGCCGGCCACGUGAGCAGGAAGGUCCCCCUGAUGACCCCAGCUAACCAUCACCCGACUGCAUCACAUGUAUGGUCUGAGCAAGAACUAUGCAGCUGAGCUCAUGAACCCCAGAUCCACAAGAGAGAAAAGCAAGUGACGGCUGUGGGCCUAAGCUGCUGAGCUUGGGGCGACUCGUUACACAGCAGCAGCAGCCAGAAGUCUGUCCACGUGCGCGCGGCCCCGCUCAUCAGCGUGUGCGGUAGCUCAGGUAGAUCUGCCCCGGAUUCCUGCAGGGGAGCCUCCCUCCCGAGCCCCCAGCGCUCUUUGCUGUGCCGGCCUCCUGCAUCACAUCCAGCGCCCACAUGUCCCCUGGCCCUGGGAAGCCCCGAGUCUACAGCCCAGCGCUUGGCACCUAGUGGGUGCUGCUCGGAGGAGGGGGAAGAGGAUCCUGGGGAGAGAGGAGGGCCCUGAGCCACACAAGCUUCCACUACCUCCCAAGGCCUUUUUCUCUGACCAGCGUCCCGGGACUUUUGGCUUCUCUGCCAGGAGCCUAGGAUGUCUCAAGUGAGAGUCAAAAAAAUUUAAGUAGCAAGUGAUCCCAGGGAACGAAGCAUGAAGGGCUGCUUAGGCUAGGAGGCCCCUGAGGGUGUGAUUCACAAAUUGGCCGGCAGGUGACAGCCUCGCUCCCGGUUCUUACCCUGCAAACCGGAAUGAACUCUGGUGCUGGGAUUCGUAAAACAUGAAAAAACAAAGUAAAGCCAAGCACCUCUCCAGGCAAGGCGCGUGUGAGCUACAAAGGAGACCCAGCCACAACCCUGCCCUCUGCGGCCGUCCUAUAAAGAGUAAACUCUGUCUCUUGAGCUCAUCUUUGGACUGUCCAGCCCUUCCUUCUGUCUCGGGCUCUCAUUUCAUACGAUUGACCCUGAUGGACCAGAGGCGUCAAAGGUCUUGCCUAAAGCCUGGUUACUUUCCGUCUACUCACUGCACGCACCUCUGCUGUCUGGCCAGACGACCACGUGGAAGUUGGAGGGUCCUCGACAGGAGCACAGGGAACGGGUCAGGAGCAGAGGAGGCUGGGUGGAGGCGGCGGGUCUGCCGGGGAGACUCCCCGGCCACACUUCUCCCGGAGCUGCCAGGCCCCGGGCCCUCCUUUCCCCCGUCUCCCGGUGCCUCCUGUCUCCCUGCCCACACCGGCCUGGUGUGGACGCAGGCUGCUGAGAGGGAAGAGGCCUCACAAGACCAUCGGGCCAGGGGGGCGGGGAAGGGGAAGUGGUGGAUUGAACUGAAAGUUAUCCAGGCUGUUUCACAACACCCUGAGGACCCAGCCCCACCUCCCCGGAGGAAUUUCUGAAUCACCUUCCAAGCUCCCUGGAACAUUCCUUGUGGUUCACAGUGUAAAGGGCAGCUUGAAGACGGGAGCACAUUCCCCUGUUGGAGCCCCCAUGGGACGCUUGGUCCUCUCCAGGUGGAUUUCCCCCUUUCUUGCUUCCAAGCAGUUUAUCCUCCUGACCUUUACACAUGGACUUUCCUGCCCUUUCUCUUAUCUUUGGCCGUCAGGCUCAUUUCUCCCGCAAACCCCGAGAGGCUCUGGGACUCCUCCUCGGGAAACACGAAGACAGGGACUGAGGGUCCUGGUCAGGAAUGCGGGGCCAUCCCUCAGUCCCCUGUCACAGCCUCAGCACUGCAGAGCCAGAUCUGAUCCAGGCAGAUCCAGCGAGAUCCAGGCAGAUCCAGGGAGAUCUCCCAGGAGACCCAGGCAGAUCCAGGCAGAUCCCCCGGGAGAUCCAGGCAGA